AGGGGAUUAGCUCAGAGGUAGAGCGCUCGCUUUGCAUGCGAGAGGUCGGGGUUCGAUUCCCCAUCCUCCA